AGCAGCCGCGGUAAUUCCAGCUCCAAUAGCGUAUAUUAAAGUUGUUGCAGUUAAAAAGCUCGUAGUUGAAUUUCGGGGUUAGUAGGUUGGUCAUGCCUCUGGUAUGUACUGGUCUCACUGAUUCCUCCUUCCUGACGAACCUUAAUGCCAUUAAUUUGGUGUUUUGGGGAAUUUGGACUGUUACUUUGAAAAAAUUAGAGUGUUUAAAGCAAGCUAACGCUUGAAUACAUUAGCAUGGAAUAAUGAAAUAGGACGUUCGAUCCUAUUUUGUUGGUUUCUAGGAUUGACGUAAUGAUUAAUAGGGAUAGUUGGGGGCAUUAGUAUUCAAUUGUCAGAGGUGAAAUUCUUGGAUUUAUUGAAGACUAACUACUGCGAAAGCAUUUGCCAAGGAUGUUUUCAUUAAUCAAGAACGAAAGUUAGGGGAUCGAAGACGAUCAGAUACCGUCGUAGUCUUAACCAUAAACUAUGCCGACUAGGGAUCGGAUGAUGUUAAUUUUUUAAUGACUCAUUCGGCGCCUUA
rnacentral:rRNA from 1 species